UACGGAGGGGGCUAGCGUUGUUCGGAAUUACUGGGCGUAAAGCGCGCGUAGGCGGCUUUGUAAGUUAGAGGUGAAAGCCUGGAGCUCAACUCCAGAACUGCCUUUAAGACUGCAUCGCUAGAAUCGUGGAGAGGUGAGUGGAAUUCCGAGUGUAGAGGUGAAAUUCGUAGAUAUUCGGAAGAACACCAGUGGCGAAGGCGACUCACUGGACACGUAUUGACGCUGAGGUGCGAAAGCGUGGGGAGCAAACUAGG
rnacentral:rRNA from 1 species